AUGAAUAGAAGAUUCAUUUCCCUUCCUUUCAUCUUUCAAAGAGAAUUGCAGAUGACUCACUCUCCGAAUAGUGAUAUUUGUUUGCGUACACUUGUUUGUUUGGGGUUAGAGCUGAUGGGCUUUGAUAAGGAGUGCUGGAGAUGCCGAAGACUAAAGCAUUAUCAUUGUGGUUUGUGUGGGUGGGUGGGUGGGUUUGUGUGUGUGUGUGUGUGUGUGUGUGUGUGCAUUCUUGCGUAUGCUCUAGGCCGGGAGCGUUUCACUACACCCACAAUAACAUCUGCUAAAUAUGUGUAUGAGACCAAUGAAGUUUGUAUUUGAUUUUGAAUAGCCUAGUAAUAGGGCAUUUUAAAAAAAUAUAUAUAUUUUCACAAUGAAUAGACUGUCAUUACCUCGCCACUGGGCGUUUCCAUCUCCUCCUCUCUCUCCUUCAUUCCUUUCACCAGAGGACAGAGAGAGGGGCUGUCAACAGAUGUUUCGUUGUGAAAACACAAUUUGCUAUCGAUGUCCCCGACCAGAUUUCACUUGGUUUCUCAAAUGAAGCACCGGGUUAGCUGCAGGUUCAGGGUUGCAGAGCCAAUGGCAUACAGAGUUUGGGCAAAAUAACAGGAGUGCCUUCCCGACGUGGGUGGAACCAGUGGGCAAGUGGCUUCCGUUCCUAUCGGAUGAUGUGUAUUUUUCCUCUUGCCCCUGUUCCUGCCCAUUCGAAACAAAUUCUACAUAUUAGUAAAGACGAGAUUAAAUUGAGAAUAGUCUGACGGGUGAUAUAAUGAUCACAUGAUGAGGGCUGGAGAGAACAGCGUGUGUGUCCUAAGGCAAGGACCAGAGCGCAAGCAUUUUUUUUUUUUACGACUUUACACAAAUCAUCAUUCAGCCCGUAUAUCUUUAAAAAAUAUCUAAGGCCUUCUAAGGUUUGUGUCAUUCACAACAAAAUUUGUCAAAUAACUCUAAGUCGAGCGUAUAGGACCUGUUUCAAAUGAUCACUUGUACGCUCAAUGUAGCCACUCUGGCUCUGGAAUGGGGAAAAAUAUCCUUUCUAUUUUAUUCAAUUAUAAUCUUCUUACUAUAAAAUCUGAUAGCCUAAUAUAAAAUAAUGGCAUAUAAGCAUAUCUUGUCUGCUAAAUGAACAAGCCUACAGCCUACAGCAUGGCGCAUAGCCAUAUAACAUACAGUAGGCCAACUCCUAUUCUGUUCUUCUGAAAUACAUUUUCAUCAUAUAAUGUUUCUUUAAACCUGCCGAAAAUAAAGAAUGGAUUUAUCGUGACGGUGUAAAUGAAAUGGAUUCAUUCAACUUUUUUUUAUUUUGGAAAUGCACAUGUUCCAAACGCGUGCACUGGCUGCUUGUAUUUGUGGAGGCCUGGAGAUGCUAAAUGUGUUUUAUGUUAAUUAACGGUCAAUUACCGUGAGACCGGCACUCUUUUGUAUGGCAAUAACAGGCUGACAACAUGUCAUGGCUCCCACAGCCCUAGUUGCGGUCUCACUCAGGUGCCAGGACAACGGUCAGGUCGCAUAGUGCCAAUCACACUGUGGCAUUACAUCGCCGGGGGAAACCGUCACUGUCGAUCACUUUCUCACACACUACAAUUGUGAGGCCAGGCUUUGUCAGUCAGACGUGGAAAUGUGUGCAGCAAGAAAGCAACCUUUAGACUCCGGUGUCUCACUCUGUAGUCCUGCAUCUCUCUCUUUCUCUCUUUCUCUCUCUCUUUCUCUCUCUCUCUCUCUCUUUCNNNNNNNNNNUUUGUGUGUGUGUGUGUGUGUGUGUGUGUGUGCAUUCUUGCGUAUGCUCUAGGCCGGGAGCGUUUCACUACACCCACAAUAACAUCUGCUAAAUAUGUGUAUGAGACCAAUGACCAAUGAUUUUGAGCAGGCUAUAGACAAUGUGUGUGUAUUGUCAUUUCACUUCUUAUUGUGUGAUAAUGCCGGGCUGAACUGACAACAGACUGCCAUGUUAAUAUCUGGUGGCUCCGACUAGAAAAUCAGAGCACAGCGGCAGGAGUCAACGCUGCGUCACUGAAUCUGACGUCGCCCACUAAGUUGUGCCCAAAUAAGCUUGCGUUCUUUCGUUUUGCCCCCCCUGAUGGCAGUUGUGAC
rnacentral:lncRNA from 13 species